GACGAACGCUGGCGGCGUGCUUAACACAUGCAAGUCGAACGGAAAGGCCCUGCUUUUGUGGGGUGCUCGAGUGGCGAACGGGUGAGUAACACGUGAGUAACCUGCCCUUGACUUUGGGAUAACUUCAGGAAACUGGGGCUAAUACCGGAUAGGAGCUCCUGCUGCAUGGUGGGGGUUGGAAAGUUUCGGCGGUUGGGGAUGGACUCGCGGCUUAUCAGCUUGUUGGUGGGGUAGUGGCUUACCAAGGCUUUGACGGGUAGCCGGCCUGGGAGGGUGACCGGCCACAUUGGGACUGAGAUACGGCCCAGACUCCUACGGGAGGCAGCAGUGGGGAAUAUUGCACAAUGGGCGGAAGCCUGAUGCAGCAACGCCGCGUGCGGGAUGACGGCCUUCGGGUUGUAAACCGCUUUCGCCUGCGACGAAGCGUGAGUGACGGUAAUGGGUAAAGAAGCACCGGCUAACUACGUG
rnacentral:rRNA from 1 species